rnacentral:rRNA from 1 species
AUUGAACGCUGGCGGCAUGCCUUACACAUGCAAGUCGAACGGCAGCACGGGUGCUUGCACCUGGUGGCGAGUGGCGAACGGGUGAGUAAUACAUCGGAACAUGUCCUGUAGUGGGGGAUAGCCCGGCGAAAGCCGGAUUAAUACCGCAUACGAUCUACGGAUGAAAGCGGGGGACCUUCGGGCCUCGCGCUAUCGGGUUGGCCGAUGGCUGUUUAGCUAGUUGGUGGGGUAAAGGCCUACCAAGGCGACGAUAAGUAGCUGGUCUGAGAGGACGACCAGCCACACUGGGACUGAGACACGGCACAGACUCCUACGGGAGGCAGCAGUGGGGAAUUUUGGACAAUGGGCGAAAGCCUGAUCCAGCAAUGCCGCGUGUGUGAAGAAGGCCUUCGGGUUGUAAAGCACUUUUGUCCGGAAAGAAAUCCUUGGCCCUAAUACGGUCGGGGGAUGACGGUACCGGAAGAAUAAGCACCGGCUAACUACGUG